AUUUUAUUUCCAUAUCUGAGAUAGUCUCUCUUCUCACUAUUUCUUCAGUGAGAAGAAAUCCUUUAACGUGAGGAUUAAUGUAUGUCCCCUUAAUGAAUUUCUGACCACAAUUCCAAGUUAUUAUGAUAAUUAACACUGGCAAGAGUUAUCUAUUACAAUUUUUUAGAGUAUUCUUUAAACCCUUUAUUGUGAGAUAAAUGCAAUAAAAUUGUGACUGUUUCAUCUUGUACUUGAGUAUCUAGUUGGGUGCUUGGUACAUGACAAGGAUUCUAUAAAUCACUAGGCCUAUGGGCAUCUAUAUUGAGCAAGCUUAGCAGGAUGAACCACAGAGGGCAAGCCCGGAAAUCUCUCUGUCCCCAACUCUGCUCCCAUGCUUGUUUCUCUGCCCUGCAGCUGGGCUUCACUGCUAUUCAAGGUCACCAUCUAUUUUUUGGGGAACUCAGCAAUAGGCAACUGCCAGGCACAAAGUAGUAAAAUCUCCAUCAGGAAAUCAGCAACUCCAUGAGUCACCUCUGGCCAUUUGCCUAAGUUGAAAUGACCGUGCUUUCUGGGAAGAGAAUGCAUACAGGGAUCUGGGUAUCGCUGGGGCAGAGAUGAAAUCUGAACAAGGUAGCUGCCUCUCCACCCCCAAACAGGCCCCUCCACCUCAGGAUGGUUUCCCUGGUUUGGAGAACAUCUCCAGCUGACCACAGCAGUUCAAGCUGGCCCACCGCCAUCCACAGUCUACUCCAGGCAGACCAGGUUGCUUCCAAGUCUUGGCUGUCGUGGAUACUGCUGCAGAAAUCAUGGGAGUGCAAAUAUCUCUGGCAUACUGAUUUCCAGUCUUUUGGGUGAAUACCAAGCAAGUGGAAUACUGGAUCAUAAGGUCUGGAAGCUGCAAAGAUCAAGGUGACAGUAUUUUGAUGUCUGGUGAGAUCCUUCUUCUAUCUUCACACUGUGGAAAAAGAGAUGGGCAAAAGGGGACUAUUUCUCUCUAGCUCUUUUAUAAGGCAGGACUCCAUUCAUGACGACAGAGUCCGCAUGACCGAAUCACCUCUCAAAGAAUACUCCUUUUGAUACUGAGGCAUCAGGAAUUAAGUUUCAACAUGAAUUUUGGAGGGAACAUAAACAUUCAACCGUAGCAGAAGCAUUUUUCUUCGUCUGACACACAGGAAGACUGCAUUUUCCAGUCCUCUAGAAAGUUUUGCACUAGGGACUAUCCUUAGAUGCCAUGCAUUUUUUUUGUUUUUAUUACAUGCUCCUUAACUGGCUGAAUGAAGGGGAUGCAGUGGCAACACAAGGUGCGAAGAACCAUGAUCCCUGAAGUAUAUGGAAGGCCAUUUGCCAAACACACACCUGAUUAGUCUGUGAAGAGGCUAAGAAAUAAACCUUUAUUGUGUUAAACACUGAUCAUUCUGAGUUAAUUACAACAGCUAACAUUAAUUGCUUUGAUAAUGUGCACUGUUUAGCUCUCUGAAUUGUCUUGUCCUGGAUAAUUUUUCUAGUUAUUUCCCCAUUCAUAUUUUCACUUGGCACUUUGUUCCCAAAAAUAUCCUCUAGUAAAAAAUCUUUUGGUUCUACAUCGUGUGUGCUUUGAUCAAUUUUUCAUUGACUACUAUCUAAUUUUAAUUACCCACAUAAAGCUUCCAUAUUCCAAACAUCUCUCCGUGAACCACUGAUUCAAACCUACUUCCAAUAUCUGAUUCUUUAAAUUCUAGACAUGUGAUUCCAAUUUGAUCUUAAAAUCCUACAACAAUUUCUAGAAAUUACGAACUCUCUAUAUGUCCACCUUUUCUUCUACUUAUCUUCCUUUUAGCAGCUUUUAACGAUACAUGAAAAUAGUUGAGAAACUAGAACUUCUUGUCAGAACUACUUUUUACAAACUAGAACCUCAGAGAGCAAAUGAAUCUCACAUGAAUUAUUUCAUGAACACACAGAAAUGCAAGUGAUUGUCCAUUGAGCUCUUCAUUUGCAGGAGUCAUUAAAAAAUGCACACCCCCGCACACACACACACCUUUCUUAAAAAUGCUCUAGGCCACAUGCCCCUAAUUUCCACUUGCCCUAACUUUCCCUAUAAGAGUGCAAAGCUGAAUUACAGUCUUCUUAAUGUACACAUACAUUAUAAGUAUUAAGGAUUUUAAAAUGCAAUUCUACUAGUCUUCUAAUUUCAAUUACACACGGUACAAGGCAAUUUAACCUUUCAGAGAUAAUCCCAUCUACUUUGAAUAAUAGCAAAUCUGGAGUUACAAAAUACAUAAGCUAAGAAUUAAUUAGAGAUAUAAGCUAUAAUGCAAAUAAAAUAAUAAUUAUUAUAAUAGAGGAAUGCACAGUGUGCGAGAGCCCCGAAGAAGGCACAUUGGUGAAUAGUAGGUUGCACAGCAAUUUUCCAUGCAGAACGAGAGGAAAAGAGAAAAAAGGCUGACGAUGAUCAAAGCUUAGGUCCCAUGUGAAGUAUCGGAAAAUCAGGCUACACA
ensembl:lncRNA